CCCAGCGGCACAAGAGACUUCACAGCCGCUAAGACCCUCCCUGGUUUCUGCCUCGAGGAUUCCCCUUUGUGCACGCAAGCCCGCUCUCCUCUCGUGCCUUCCAGCCUCCGCAGGCUUUGACAAGGCCACGCCUUGUCCCAAACCCACCGAGAACGGCCCUCCCGGGAUCACCACCCCGUCCUAGCCCGCGUCUCCGGUAUUUUCUCAGACCUCCGAGCGCAAAGCUUAGGUAGAACCAUUUUUUAAUAAGCACGGUAAAAUUAAGAAUUUAACCACAAUGUAUGACAAGAAUUAUAAGCUUUAAAAAAUACAACCAAUUUUUUUUUUUUUUUGUAUUUCAAAAAUAUCUGAACCCAAAUAAAUAAUUUUUUUUUUUUUAAAAGUACAUUUCUCAGACUAGUCAUUUGGUGUUAACAUCUGUUAAACUCUUGUGCAGUAACACUUACAGCACGACACUAAGACAUGCUUCUUGGAUUUCUCCCGGUCACACUCGCUCUAACUACUGACGCAAGCAUUCGGCACGCACAGGCACACACGUGUAACUCAACAUGCAGUAAUAGGAUACAGUGCUUUAAAAUAAGAUGAGAAUUCAUCACAGCCUCCUCGCAGCCCUCAGAGGCAGCUCUUAGCCCAGCCCCAUCCCCGUGCCGGCAGCGAGGCAGCCGGCGGGACCGGGUACCCUGUGUUUCUGCCUUCCAGUUAAAGCGCGUCUCGGGGACCAGGGCGCAGUGGGUUUGGGACCCCGGCAAUAUCGGGGCAGGCGCUCUCCUUCGGCCUGGGCAGCUCGCCGAAUUUCCCGUCGCACCUUAUUACAGGAGCCUUUUCAAAGCGCUGCUACAAGCCCUGGGUCCUGCCCAGCUCUCCGAGACGCUGAAUCCGCAGCGUGGGCUGUCACCCACCACCAGACCGGGGGCUCGGGGCCCCCCACGCACAAGGAAAACCAAAGAACUGGCCUGGGGGCGUGGAGCCGUCAGCUCUCACCCCUCAGGCGCCUCUCCCACCCCUUACAAAAUGGUGAAUAUUGCUAGAGUAUAGGCAGUACUUCCCUAGUCAAGGCAAGACAGCUUGGGAGCUGCUUAGUAGUGAUUGCUACUGGAUGAAAGUAAAUCCGAGCACUAUCCUCUGAGAAAUGAAACCUGUGUAGGGUUAAUAUCGCCUACUCCUAUGGCUGACCUUCCUCGGGGUGGGAUCUGAAAGCGGCGGGCUAGUGUGGCGUAGAGCAGGAGCUGGCAGUCCGUCUCCCAAGGAAGGAGAGCGGAGGAGUGAGAAAAGGGAGCCCUGCCCGCCCAGCCAGGCAGCAGACGGCCAGGGGAGACCUUUGCUCCGAUGAAUUCUCGGUCAGGCUUAAAGCCUCCUCUCCCCGACAGCCAGCAGAGCGAGAGGAGGGAGCCGGAGCCGGCCGUGCGGGAGGCGGGGGCAUGCUGGCAGCGCUCACGGAAGCAGGUGACGGCCGUGCACAGCACCGCUGGCUCUGGCGGCUGGAGGGUUGGCGCGGGAGGGCUGGUGGGUAUUGCACUGCGGCUGCGAGGAACCUGCCCUGCUCGCGGUGGACGGACAGCUGGACGGCAGCGCGCGGCGCUCAGGCGGUGCGGUGCAAGCCGACGAACACGCAUGCCAAGAUUCAUUGCGGGAGCUGUUAGUGCGAAGAUCGUAACUUGCUAUAAGUCUGCUAAUAUCGGAAACCAGUGAGGUAACACAGUGAGGAUGAGGAAAAAGUCUUAAAGUGCCAAUAUAGGGAUCUUUACUGUACAGGGGCAGAAGGUCAGAGAGAGAAAUUACCGAGCAAAGAGGAAUUCAGCUCCCGAACCACCAGCUGCACUCGGACUCCCCCCCGAUUUCUGCCGCUGUUACGGGCGCCACAAGCAGCGAGGGCGGGCUGGGCCCCGGCUGCAGCGAGGUGCCACAGCCCGAGGUAACUCCCCCUUUCCUGGAGUCCGAGCUCAGAGGUUACCCUGCCGUGAGCCAGCUUGAGGAGGACAAGCACUCCAAGGUGCGUUUCCCCACAGCUCCUGCUUAAUAGCCGAGUCGCAGAUAGCGCAGAGCUCCGGUUUCCAAACAGCGACGAAGGUCCCAGCAAAGCCCCCAGGGCACCCUCCCAAAUCAGAGCUGUUUUGUGGGGGAGAGACGAAGCAGGUCAGACGGGUGGUAGUGCAAGUAUUGCUCAACACAGUCUCAAACAUCAGAUGCUACAGGUUUGACAGAGGGAGCAAGGAGAAGCGAGUUAUUUAUCAAUUUAUGGGUGCAGCUGAACACCACAGGUAGAGACCACUGUGACUAAGAUCAGCCGACACUGAUCACCCAUCCCGCUCCGCCGCUCUGCGCUGUCAGCCUGGAGGAAGACGUGAGUGAGUCAGCGGGGG